rnacentral:tRNA from 1 species
UGCCCGGUAGCCAAGUGGUAAGGCUGCGGACUCUGAAUCCGCCAUCCUAGGUUCGAAUCCUAGCCGGGCAGCCA